rnacentral:rRNA from 1 species
UACGGAGGGUGCAAGCGUUAUCCGGAUUCACUGGGUUUAAAGGGUGCGUAGGCGGGCAGGUAAGUCCGUGGUGAAAUCUCUGAGCUUAACUCAGAAACUGCCAUGGAUACUAUUUGUCUUGAAUAUUGUGGAGGUAAGCGGAAUAUGUCAUGUAGCGGUGAAAUGCUUAGAUAUGACAUAGAAUACCCAUUGCGAAGGCAGCUAACUACGCGAUAAUUGACGCUGAUGCACGAAAGCGUGGGGAUCAAACAGG